CGGGUGGUAAUGCCGGAUGCUCCAGUUGAUCGCAUGGUCUUCUGGGAAAGCUUUCGCGGUAUGGGAUGGGGUCGCGUCCUAUCAGCUUGACGGCGGGGUAACGGCCCACCGUGGCUUCGACGGGUAGCCGGCCUGAGAGGGCGACCGGCCACAUUGGGACUGAGAUACGGCCCAGACUCCUACGGGAGGCAGCAGUGGGGAAUAUUGCACAAUGGGCGCAAGCCUGAUGCAGCGACGCCGCGUGAGGGAUGGAGGCCUUCGGGUUGUAAACCUCUUUUAUCGGGGAGCAAGCGUGAGUGAGUUUACCCGUUGAAUAAGCACCGGCUAACUACGUGCCAGCAGCCGCGGUAAUACGUAGGGUGCAAGCGUUAUCCGGAAUUAUUGGGCGUAAAGGGCUCGUAGGCGGUUCGUCGCGUCCGGUGUGAAAGUCCAUCGCUUAACGGUGGAUCCGCGCCGGGUACGGGCGGGCUUGAGUGCGGUAGGGGAGACUGGAAUUCCCGGUGUAACGGUGGAAUGUGUAGAUA
rnacentral:rRNA from 1 species